GGAAAGGUGCUCGAGUGGUUGAAGAGGCACGCCUGGAAAGCGUGUAUACCCCUAAAGGGUAUCGAGAGUUCGAAUCUCUUCCUUUCCG
rnacentral:tRNA from 2 species